GUUCCAGUCGACGUUUCAGUCUGUAAAAUACUUUUUUCAAGACCUGUAAAAAAAAGUAUUUUACAGACCGAAACGUCGACUGGAAU